rnacentral:tRNA from 1 species
CGUCUAGCUCAGUCGGUAGAACGCAAGGCUUUUAACCUUGUGGUCGUGGGUUCGAGCCCAAACCCACGGUG